GAGGGUAGAGCUCAAUGGUAAGAGUUUGUGCUUAGCAUGCAUGAGGUUCUGGGUUCAAUCUCCAGUACCUCCA
rnacentral:tRNA from 1 species